ACUCGACUUUCACAAUCGAGCAAUCGAGCCGAUGGAAAAUUUUUUGUGGAUCAGUGGAUCGUUAAAAAAUUAUAAUAUGGUGACCACGUUGCGAGUGUGUCGGGUAAAACCUAAAACUGUAUAAAAGUCGUAAGUGGUAUAAGACCAUCUGUUGCCUGUUGGCUCGCAGCUUUCUUUUCGGUUACGUUUCGUCGACGAGUAGACUCGCUUUGCUAAUUUGCUUUUUUAAAAUGGUGAACGAUUCGUCUUUGGCAUCAUAUCAUGGCAUCUUUGAUUUAUUCAGAAUAUCUUAACAUGUAAAUAAUUUAGCGACCACGUUGCGAGUGUGAGACUGUGAGUGUCGGGUAAAACCUUAAAAACUUUUCUAGAAUCCAGACCUAGAUUUUGUAGUUUUAGUUUGAAGAAUGAUGGCGAAAAUAAUAACAGGUAUUGCAUUAAUCUUCUCCUGUUUCUAAUUAUUUGUAGCAUGCCACUACCAAGCCCGUUUUAACCUCCAUUCUCUCUGCCUCUAUUUUAUCAAAGGACUAAAGCAUCAGCAUGCCACUACCAAGCCCGUUUUAACCUCCAUUCUCUCUGCCUCUAUUUUAUCAAAGGACUAAAGCAUCAGAUCUCGAAACACACAGGCGAUGAAACACAAUAGAUGUCCAAUGUGGUUCAAGAUUUCCAUCAUGGCCUAAGAAUAAUUUGCCGGCUUUAAUCUACCUUUUGAACCAUUCAAGAUGAAGAAGAAUGUCUCGUUUUUCUCUGAGAAGAAAUGGUGACCAAAGCCGGCAGCAUUUGCAAAACGGGCAGGGAGGUCGCCACAUGUUUUCUCCUAUUGCGUAUUCGCAAGACAGUGGAAACUCCCAAAUUGUCGCACCCCAUCAAGAUUUCACAUUUCAAAUAACAUGGUGUUUUUAAAAGGUUCCUGACUGCAUCAAAUUGUUAUUUUUUAGUUGGAGUGGUGAAGAAGAAAGUGCCCCAACCCUUUUCUGUUGGAACAGUAGCUCUAAUGUAUCAAGACAUCUUGGGUGAAA